rnacentral:rRNA from 1 species
GACGAACGCUGGCGGCGUGCUUAACACAUGCAAGUCGAACGGAAAGGCCCCUUUGGGGGGCCUCGAGAGGCGUACGGGUGAGUAACACGGGAGUAACCUGCCCAAGACGUCGGCAAAACAUCAGGAAACUGGGGCUAAUAUCGGGUAGGAAUCCUUGCUGCAUGGUAGCGGUUGGAAAGAUCAGGCGGUUGUGGACGGACCUGCGGCUUAUCAGCAUGUGGGUGGGGUAGUGGCAUACCAAGGCUUUGACGGGGAGCCGGCCAGAGAGGGCGACUGGCCACAGUGAGACUGGGAUACGGCCCAGACUCCUACGGGAGGCAGCAGUAGGGAAUAUUGCACAAGGGGCGUAAGCCGGAUGCAGCUGCGCCGCGUGCGGGAUGACGGCCUUCGGGUUGUAAACCGCUUUCAGCAGGGGCGAAGCUUGUAAUGACGGUACCUGCGGAAGAAGCACCGGCUAACUACGUG